UGGGGAAUAUUGCACAAUGGGGGAAACCCUGAUGCAGCGACGCCGCGUGAGGGAUGAAGGCCUUCGGGUUGUAAACCUUUUUCGCUCAUGGUCAAGCCGCAGCUUUGGGUUGUGGUGAGGGUAGUGGGUAAAGAAGCGCCGGCUAACUACGUGCCAGCAGCCGCGGUAAUACGUAGGGCGCGAGCGUUGUCCGGAAUUAUUGGGCGUAAAGGGCUUGUAGGCGGUUGGCCGCGUCUGCCGUGAAAUCCUCUGGCUUAACUGGGGGCGUGCGGUGGGUACGGGUUGACUUGAGUGCGGUAGGGGAGACUGGAAUUCCUGGUGUAGCGGUGGAAUGCGCAGAUAUCAGGAGGAACACCGGUGGCGAAGGCGGGUCUCUGGGCCGUUACUGACGCUGAGGAGCGAAAGCGUGGGGAGCGAACAGG
rnacentral:rRNA from 1 species